AAAGAUGCCCUGCUGAUAUGAAAAUUGCAUGUGGUACACUUGGAUGGACAGAUUAAAAACACCCAGAACCAAACUUAUUCAUGGAGGAAGCAGGUGAAAUUUCCUAUUCAGGUAUGUGCUGCAUAGUGUAUUGAGUGUAGAUACAAACUCUGCUCAUGCUCCGAGGUGACCAAAAUCUGUAUGACCUGAGAAGUGUGCUGCAGCAUACUGGUGGUGAGCACCAGCUGGAGGCUCCUCUGGAUGCACACAUCCCACCUGGAGUUCAGGCACAGCUCACACGAUGAUGUGAUGGGCAGCAGGGCUGUAGCUACGAUUAAAGACUGAUUGCUAACCCAGUUCCUGUCUGCAGGAUUAGGACACAAAAAUACAAGCUUUUGUGGAUAAUACCUCAGAACUGUCUUGUACAUGUCAUAUGGAUGAUGUAAACUGUGGAGGCUGUAAGUGUCUUAAAUGUCUCAGCAUUGCAAUUCUGCAAUUGGGAGAGUUGGGAAGAGUGGAUCCUUGCUCCUGUGGGGUACAAACAAUCCUCAUGGUUUGGUCCUUGUCUACUAAGCCAGAUUCAUAUGCUCAGAAGCAAAGUUCCAGGUGCUUUGUUUCCUGGGGUGGAGGAAAAAACUGCAUCUUUACAUCUGAUUGCUUCACUUAAUUUGGCUUUGGUCAUAGACCCCAGGUAAGUAUGUUUUUGCAGUUACAUUUGUUGAAACAGGACCCAGGGGCUGCAGUCCCCAGAGCCUGGCUGGGGAGCAGAUGAGCUGUAGAGUUCAGUCCCUCUGGCCCAAUGCUGUGAAGCUUUUCUGUGCAAAACGAGGGGCACCACUGCAGAUAUCCACAAACAGAGCAUUUGCCUCCAUGGUUGGCUGGCAGAGAGGUGUCUUUUCUAGGCACCACUGUGUGCCUGUGACAGAGUGGCAGAACAGGUCUGGGGAACAGGACCCCCGCAUGCCUCUCAUUGUGCAUGCUGAAAGGAGCAGCUGGAUUAAGAUGCCUCCUUCCCUCUGCAACCCUUCUUAUCCGCACUGAAAUCACCAAGACAAUAAUAUGUUGGAUGUCUGAGGACUUCAGAAUGGAUGCCCUAUUAUUUCUCUCUUUUGUUUUGUUAUAAUAUGUGUGACCUUCAACUGCUUUCACACACUUUUCACUCUGCAGAGAAAAUACCAUGCUGAAUGGCUUAACUGCGAUUUCAAUACAAAACUAACCAACAAAAAGAGUGUAUGGGACAAAAGCAACAAUGCGGGCAACGACAUUCAGAAGUGUUAGAAGUAAAUCUAACUGCACACAAAGCAGAGUUCAGCUAAGUGUCACUGCCAAAAAACAUCUUCUGUUCUCUAUGAAAUGAAAUUGGAAAAGAGCUAAAUCGAGUGCUGAAACUCACUGGAUGCGUUAAAGGUGGGAGAGGGGGGAUGUACCUGCUCUGGGGGACUGAAGGCACCUGUUUUACAUCUCUGCAUUUUUGACAGGUGGGACAGAGAAGGACUGGUAUUUCAGCUGGUGUAAAAGCAUACAGUGAUUUGCUUAUACAGAGGAUCUGCUCUAUGGUUUAUGCUUAUUUCUCCCAGGCAACACUUUAGAAAGCAAUCAGAUAGUAGUUCAUAUCUGAUUUUGAGUGUACACCCAGAGGGAGAUGCUGAUUUCCUCCUUUUUGAAACAUGUAUUGAUAAAAUAAUAAUCUAUUUUCAUGUGCUUCCUUAUCUUCACCUACUCUUCUGUCUCGGUUUUACUGCCAUUCAGAUUAGGUUUAGUCCUACAUCGGGGAUGAAAAAUGUGGACCGGUUGUGCUGGAGGAAUAGGCAAAGACCCCCGUUUUAUUGAACAAGGUUAUGCUGCGACACACGAGUUGCUUUCAGAUGUAAGGGGUAAUGCAUAAGCCAAUGCUUCAUUUGCAUGCUAAGGAAGGUCUGAAUGCCUGCUUGUUCUCUGCUUGGAUCACUGUAAUAUGCAUGAGUGAGAAAGGAGGAUAAUAACCAGAGGAAGAAGUUGCUUUUAUUAACCUGCUUUUGCAUUUUUCCUUUUCGAUGAAAACUUUAGAGGCAGAUAUUUGCUUCCUUUGUAAAAAACAUGGUUUGUGUGUGUGUGUUUCAAGUAUUAAAAAUGGGAAUAAAAAGGUUUUGGUCCUGAUUUUUUUAAUUAGAGUGAAAAAGGAGAAUGUCUACAUGGGUUUGAUAAGAGACAUAAAA